rnacentral:rRNA from 1 species
GAUGAACGCUAGCGGCAGGCCUAAUACAUGCAAGUCGAACGGAUAUAUGUUUUUCGGAAUAUAUAUUAGUGGCGCACGGGUGAGUAACACGUACAUAACUUGCCCUCAAGCGGGGGAUAGCCUUGGGAAACUGAGAGUAAUACCCCAUAGAAUUAUUGGACGGCAUCGUUUGAUAAUUAAAACUACGGUGUUUGGGGAUAGAUGUGCGUCUGAUUAGCUAGUUGGUGAGGUAACUGCUCACCAAGGCGACGAUCAGUAGGGGGCGUGAGAGCGUGGCUCCCCACACGGGUACUGAGACGCGGACCCGACUCCUACGGGAGGCAGCAGUAAGGAAUAUUGGUCAAUGGAGGGAACUCUGAACCAGCCAUGCCGCGUGAAGGAUGACGGCCCUCUGGGUUGUAAACUUCUUUUGGAUGGGGCGAAAAAACGGGAUUUAUCCUGGACUGACGGUACCAUCAGAAUAAGCACCGGCUAACUCCGUG